rnacentral:lncRNA from 1 species
UGGUUGCUUAAGCAAAUGCAUCCAACUAGAUCGUCCUUGUGCUGAAUAAUUGGAUAUCGUAUCCACUUAAAGCUGCCUUGUGUAGUACGUCUUUGUGUCUCUCUUUAUAUUCCAAUAAGGUCGGUGAUCUUGAUGCCACACACUCAGAUGUGUGUUCAUCUCCAGAUACUACUCCAUGCUACCUGCCCUUUGUGUUUUGUUCAAUAACUGGGUAUCAUAUCCCAGCCAGUAUGCCGUCUGUUUUGUGUUUGUUUCCUUCUAGUUCCAAAGGGGUCAUCAUGAUGUUACCUUCUUUCAAUAUGGUGCUUUGCAUGACUACUGUUGUAUGGUACCAUCUUGUGGCCAAUAAGUACAUCUUAUCCUAUGACCUUUGCUAUGACCCUUUGCAAAUAAGUAGAAGAUUGUUAUAAGCGUCAAUACUCCGUAUAAAUUGAUCGCUGCUGUGAGUUCCCUUUCAGCUUAUCGUAGGCAUACAUUAUUGCUAGCACGGUAAAGCCAACCAACACGAAUGAUGAAGUAAACGUAGCGGUACUUCUGUAUACCAACACCCUUACUUAAAUGUACCGGUGUCAUUCCCUACUGGCACAUAUAUUCUUAUAUGCUAGCCAGCUUGUAAAAUUAACCAAUUAAAAUAAUUAUUUCAAGAUAGAAAUAACUUAUCGGUUUCUGGAAGCAUGUGUAAUGUGAAUUCAAGGACUCGACGGAAGUUGAAUCACUUCAUCUAUAUUGCUUUCAGUAUUUUGGGUAACUAAAUUUAACAUUUGCACAUACAAAUGUUAAAGUACAAAUGUUAAAUCUAGUUACCCAAGCAGAAUAUGAAGAUAGUUUAUAGUAUAUAUAUACUAUAUAAAUCUAGUUAACAUUUAGUCUAAAUGUUAAAUCUAGUUACCUAAAAUCCUGAAAGCAAAAUGUAUAAAUAUAUAUCUUUUAAGGCAGUAUAAGCUUCGAUUCCUAUUGCUGCUCUGUUAAAUCUCAUCUUUCGUUGUGGCCCAACACUCUAGUAUGCAUGUUGCACCAAGCUUCUUUGAGCCGCUCUGCCCUCUGAUUUUGCUGCGUAGGGGAAUCUUUAUCAGGUUGGGCUACUUCCAGUUGUGCGAUGUAAAGAUUCGUAUUUUCUAGAAGGUAGACAAAAAACUCGCGUUCUCUUAAGGCAACAACCGGAAGAUUCUGCAGCGCACAGGGCAUACCAUUAUUGUAGAAACGACCUUUAGUACCGAUCUCCAACCCCCUUUAAAACUGGUUUUGCAACCGGUACCGUUAUGUCGGUCCUUUAGUACCAGAUCAAAUAAGUACCGGUUGGUAACCAGUAUCAACUUGUUUUGCGGCCAAAAAAAUAAAGAAAAAAACAGUCAGAAGGCUCGCGCACACGCGCAUCACAUGAAAUAUGCGUGUGCGGGGUCCAUGGGAUUCGAACCCAUGAAAUCAAGCUGCGCGCGACCCUUCGUUACCAUCUCACCUACAUAGCGCAUAUGCUUUCCUGAAGUAACCCGUGGAGGAGGCUUUAGUACCGGGUCAUAACACCACCCGGUACUAAAAAUGACUCUUCAGUACCGGGUCAUAACACCACCCGAUACUAGUAUCGGAUGGUGUAAUGACCCGAUACUAAAAGGCCUCUAGGGACCCUCAAAUUUGAACCCGGUACUAAUGCUAAUAUUAGUAGCGGGUCAAAGUGCAGCCAGAACUAAAGCAUGGGAUGAAAGGUCAUAUUUCUAGUAGUGUAUAGUUGUUGUGAAGGACUGACUUGGCUGUCCUCUCUCUUCUCCAUCCCCUUGGUCUUACGCCGCCGCUCGCACGCGAGCCGGUGCCCAACCAGAGGAGUGAGAGCUAGGGGCAGGUUGGGAGGUGGGGAUAGUGACUGGUGGCCAGGGUGAUGGUUGAUCCUGGUGGGGUUAGGGUUUUAGGGUUUUCGAGCUUCCUAUGGUCGGCGAACCUAGAGGAGGAGCUCAACAUCAGCUGCAACCCGCGAUGGUGGUGGUUUGGCCGGCGCCCGAGGCGAGGCAGCGCGGGAGUGCUGCCGGUGGGUUGGUGUUGGCACUCAUUAUUGACAACUAUUUUGUUCAUAAAAUAACACUCAAACUUGCUGCUGCUGCUGCUGCUGCCAUCGCCACCCUAGCCAUAAUAUAAAGGCAAAAUUUGCUAAAGGACAUGCAAAAUGAUGCUAGUUUGCUGGCGGGCAUCGUUGACCUUGUAAUAUGCUACAAGACACUCUAGUUGUGUAUCAAUUUGCUGAAAGACAUUGCUAUGACUAAAAUAAUGUUUCUGGACUGAGUUGGAGAGAGAGAUGGAGUGAAAUGUCUGUUUUGCCCAUGACCCCACUGGUCAGAUCCUUCUUCUUCCACCCUCCUUUGUUCUUUCUUCAACCAUUACCCAGCUCCAGCGUGUUGCAGAUCUACGAGGGUGGCGGCCUGGGGCGAGGGGCAUCGCUCGCCCUUGGAGGAGCGCUGCGAGCGACGGCGCGGGGGCGGCAACAGCGCGUCAGAACCUGACUGUUCGUUAGCUCCUCUCGCUGCUGGGGAAGGAGGGGGAUGGGCCAUGGACGGGGUUCCCUUGAAAACCUCAGCGUCGAGCUCGGGCGGCUACGCGCAGGCAGCACUAGGCUGCUUCACGGGGAGGGGGCGCGGCCAAUCAUUGGCACCCCACUGGUCCAAUGCUGAUGAAGAUGGUGCCAGCGUCGUGUGAGGACAUCUCAUCUCCUCGAGUUCCAUGGCCAGCACAGGUGAGCUGCCGCUACCACAAAACAGAGGUUUCGUGAGAGUCAAAAAACCUUAUGAAAAUAGCUAAAACCAUCAUGAAAAUAAUCCGUGACAUGACACUCUCACGAAAAUCCUCUCACAAAUAUGGUGCCAUGAAAAUACCAUUUUCAUGAGAGUGAACUGUCAUGAUUUUAUUUCGUGAGAGUAUUUCCUAUCAAUGACCUCCACGAAAUACUUUGUGCCACCAGGUCUUCAAGAUCAUUUUCAUGAGAGCUGAACAUCAGGAAAAGUCCGCCACAAAUGUUUUUCUUGGAGCCCCUAACUCUCAUGAAAAUCAUGCGGGCCGCCACGAAAAACAGCAUGACCAAAUGACAAAUUUCAUUUUCAUGUGUUCAUACCGCCAUGAAAAUGGUCAUUUUCAUGAGAGUUGAUGAAACAAAAAAUAGUGCCAUUUUCAUGAGAGUUCAAGCAACCAGGAAAAGACACUAAUAAACAUCCAGAUCCCAUCCAGCACACAUCCAUGCACAUAUAUAACCCACAUAUUGCUCCAGCACACAUCCAUGCAUAUACAAGAUCCAAAUGUUAAUAUAGUAGACAUCCAUGCCUGAACUAGUCUGCCACACAAGUCAUUGAUGCUACAAAUCCUACAAUCGCAGCAUGUGCAUACAAGUCACAGAAUGAGACAAUGUACCCAAAACUAAAAGGUUAGCAUCAACUGUGCUUCAACCAAAGUUGUCAUCCCAACUCUCCUCUUCAUCCAUGCCAUUCUUGUCGUGGCCGUCACUGUCAGUCCCCAUGGCAUUGCCAAUGCUGUGCAUGUCUUGGUAGGAACCUACAUGUGAUGAACUAGUAACCUGCAAAAAGAGCUCAAAGGAUCUUGUUCUCAUAUUGUAGCUGUGAAAUUCUUACAAGUAGUGUUGCAAUCAGUUCACUUUGAACCAAAAGAGCUCAAAGGAUCUUGUCCUAAAAGUUCCUCAUAAAGCUUAUGGGUUUGCUGGUGGAACUGGAAGGGCUUGAUGCAGCAGAUGCCAUUCUGCAAUAGAGAAAAAUUUAGAGAGCAGUACUAGUUAAAAUUGGAUGCAGAAGAUACACAUGAAACUAGUAUUUAUACAAGUCUAUACAAUUAAAAUCUAAGGAGACUUAUCAUCGUUUUCAUGUGUUGUGAAUUAAAAUAAUGAAGGAUACACUGUUAGGUGAAAAUUCAAGAAACAAAAUUUUGCAUAGAGAUAAAGGUCCAACAUUAUUACAAGUUAAGGUAGUUUUAAAUAUCCUUGUAAUCUUCCUUUGGUUUCCUCAACGAUUCGAAGACAAUAACCUUGCUUCUAUCAAUGAUAAUUAUAAGGAGAAUCCAGUGGAAACUGUGUAUUCGUAUUAGAACUACCUAAGGUUAAUUAGGUUAGGAAAGGAAAUUGAAAAUAGAUGGUACCCACACUUACUUAAAGUUGUCGGGCAAUAGUAUGUAAUGCUUGUAAUUCCGUUGCUCCAAGAAUUUGUAUAUGUGGUCCAAUGUAGACUUUGGUUGAUCCCGUAUCUGCUGUUGGUUAAAUAAGUGUUUCUAGCCAUUUCUAGCCAUUAGAACCGGGACUAAAGGGGGCUCUUUAGUACGGGUUGAUAUUACUAACCGGGAUUAAAGAGCCCCCAUUAGAGUUGGUUUUUGGAUGCGGAACUAACAACUCCUUUAGUCCUGAGUACGAAAACAACUGACAUAUUUGUUGCUGGAUGGAAGGUCCUUUCUCUACCGUGAAUAUUGCCAGAAAGAAUUGAAAGAGACUGCUUGCUAAAAAUAUGUCAUAGAUGUAGACCAAGCUACCAAGGAGGUAGACCAAACAUGAUACACACCAUGCGUACCUUGCUGUGCAGACUAUGCAUUGACAAGAUACCCGACCACAUGUUGGCCUCGGUCACAUCAAAAGAAUCAUGUAGGCCACCAAUAAACUACUUGAAGCGGCAUUCCGUAUCGUAUAUGCAUUGCCGGUUCAUCUGCAUUACAUUACAUAAAGCACUAUUAACUAUUUGAAUAAAAUGAACCAAUUUAAAAGUAAUGUGUUGUACUCUACUAUAGAAAGCCCUAUCACUGCCGGAUCCAAAAACAUCAUUGUUAAUGGUGGUUAAGUACCAAAUAUGACGGUCAAUAUUCUCAAGAAUAAUGGAGAAUUAGCAUUUCUUAGACACAUAUUUGGUUUUGAACAAUGUAGUUCCACAUGUCUUUGGAGAUUAUUUGGGUGUGGGUGAAAUAAUACAAAAAUAAGGAGAAAACACACUCCCAUGGCGAAGAAACACAACUCCAACCAAUGAGAGAUAGCCACAGGGGCAGCACACGGAUCCAUGGGCCCACUAACCGCAUCAAACCAUCUUACCAAGGCAGGUAGCACCCACAACCGUCAUUAGGACCCACCUGGAAGUCUACCAAGAAGAAGGUUGCGAGUGGGGCCAGGAGGGGUUCGGUUGAAUCAUCUCUAGCUAGCUCCCCUCAUCCCCAGCUGGUGGGUGGUGGUGGUUGAUGGUGUCCCUACAUCAGUUAGAGGAGAUUCCCCCAAAUAUUCCUCCUGUAAACCACCUCUAUGGACCUAUACAUAGAGGGGUGUGCUCUCCAUUCCAACACACACCACAAGUUGAAUCACUCUCUCCCUCUUUAGUUUCCAAGUUUAUGGAGUUAGGCUAGAGUAGCUCUGCUCAAGGUUCCAAGUCCACUUGGAGUUAAGCAUAUGUCUCUUGUAUCGUUAUUUCCUAAAUUGACUUUAUGCUUAGUUCUUAUAUGCAUGAGUUAGUCUAAUACCCUUGCUAUAUUGAUAUGCUCGGCUUAUAUGCUCGUAUGCUAGUCAUAUACCCUUGCUGUCGUAGUAUAGGCUUAUAUGCUCUCAUGUGUGCCUGUAGACCUUGCUAUAGUAUAUACUUGUUGUGCAUACAUACCAUGUAUAGGCUAGUCGAUCUAUACCAUGGCAUUGGUUCAAUAGCCAUGUUUUUGGUGGCUCCAACCCUAGUCACAAUAGCUCGGGACAGCUGGAGUGUUGUUAAAAAUGCAAGAGUGGUGCUUGGGUUGUUUAGCAUCGUUGGAUAUGGGUUUGCCCCACGGGUUUCUAACGGUAGGCGGCAGCUAGUGACAUCCCUGUCCGUCCUUCGUAAUCCCCCCACAUUCAGGUACGCCAUAAAUGUUCGUAAAUUAGCAGUAACUACGCCGGUACACCUGUAGGGUAUUGUCUCCCUGUAGUACCUUGGUGCAUAGAACUAAGUCCUAUACACUGUGUGUGUAUGUUUACGCUGAUAUGAUCUGUGCAGUAUAUAGGAUGUAUAUAUGAACCUAGAGCUAACUCCUAGUCCGUUCUCCAUAGCUUAGUUAUCUUGAGAUGAUUCUUCUGUAUGUGUAACACUACCCAUCUUAUCAUUAUCCUUGAUCCUGUCUUGUGUAAUAUAUCUACUCAUCCUAUGAUAUACUCAUAUGCAUAGUAAACUAUUUUGACCUACCCGCCUUCCUUUGGGAAAUAUGAUACCUUGGAAUAAUCCUAGGUGAAAUCCUACAACGGUAUAUCCAUGUAAAUGCGGAUUUAUUCAUGACCAUUAAAUAUACCAACAAUCAUCACUGUGAGUUUUGGGCGUCGUUAGUGAAGGGUUGGUAGUGAUGGGCAUCCCCUUCACCAAUGGACCUGGAACCGGCGGUGAUGGCUAUUAUAAAAAAGGGGACACCACCCAGCGUACCCCACGACCCGGCCGGCCGCACCUCCCAUCAUCCCCGCCAGCCGCCCUUCCUUUUCGCCGGCCGAGCAUGGUCCCGGCCUUUGUCCCUACCACCUCGCCUCCACCGCGACCCCCCGCCGAUGCCCUCGUGCCUGGCCCCCCUCAUCUUGCCGGCCACCCUCCCGAUGCGUCCACUGGGGCCCUCGCACCACCAACCGCCCUUGCUUAGAGAGGGAGAGAGAGGAGGGAGGUGAGGCCACGCACCUCGUCCUACACCGCCGCUGUUUCUCCUCGGCCCACCGCGCCUCACCCCACACCACAGCCGCGCCUUGCCAUCUUACCGGCUGUGACGCCUCAUCUCACCGGCCACCGUUCCUCACCCCCACUUCGGUCGUCGCCGCUCCUUGCCCUACCGCUGCUCUUUGCCGCUGCGAAUGAGCGCCGAGUGGAGGAGGAGGGAUGGGGCAGGAGGAGGGCAAGAUCCGGGAGGAAGGGAGAGAUCUCGGGAGGUGGAGAUGGAAGGAUAUGGCGGAAGGGAGAGAUCCAGAGGGAGAGAGCAGGGGAGAGAGGGGGGCGUGUGGGGAGAGAGCGCGUGUGGGGUGGGGCCGGGCUGGUGGGAUGGAAGGGAGAGGGGCUAGACGGGCGCAGUGCAUUCAACUGGAUGAAGUAAAUAUUUUGGAUUCGAGACCCCAGCUUUAUUAUCACCGCUGGUCCGUAGUACCAUCCGGUGCCUGCUCGUAAUUUAAUUUGAAUCUGCGGUGAUGUUUUAUUAUCACCAUCGGAUCAUAUAAAAAUCCGGCGGUUAAAAAUCCGCUGGUUUCGAUGAAAACCGACGGUGAUAGGAUGACUGUGAUAGUCUCUUCUCUAGUAGUGGUAUAUUAGUACCGGCUGCCGGAUGGUGUUGCCGACCAGUACUUCUCCGGGGGCGAUUCAGUACUGCUGUUAGCAAAGCUUGUUCUCUAUGAAUUUGGGGAUGGAAAGCUAGUUCUCUAGUUGUGAUUUGUUACAUAUAUAUCUAUGAUAGUCUAGAAAUUGCAUGUCCUUCGUUGACAUAGUUGAAGCUGCUUCAAGAAUUUACUUCGUGCAGUCGUGCAGCAUAUUGGAUUAUCACCUAGACAGGAUACAUAGGUGAAGCAUUGGAUGUGAUUGUGGCCGAUAAUUAUGCAGGACGCUGUUGCAAUCAACCACCAAGAAGUCUGGAGUGAUGGGGUUGCCUCAUCAAUAAUUUUUAUAUAUGGCUGCAGUAUUAUUAAGCCCACGUCAAUAAUUUUUUGUCCGCACCAUAUAUCGAUGGGGUUGCCUCAUCAAUAAUUCGCGCAACCAGACAAGCUGCAGACUCAAUAUGGUACGAAGCUAGUUGCUCAGCCCACAUGCUCUGAUAUAACAUUGACAUCUGCUGAUCUACAGUAUAUAUGACCAGAAAUAUUGUGCCCACCUCAAUAACUUUCUGAAGUAUCGUGGGGAAGAACCUACGCGUACUAUGCCUCGGAACUAACUGACAUAUCGGCCCAGGCGGUCUAGGCCGAUUGGACUGGCUCUUCCUUGUGGCUUCUCACAUCCCCUUCGUCCCCAAGUAAUUUCAGGUGUUCUGUAGUUUUCUUUUCACUUGCAUCUGAGCCUCCUAUAUCAAUAGCUUCGGGAUAAGAAUGCCUCUUGAUAACCUUCCAAAUCCUCGCUUGAUUCACAUUGAUUCCGAAAUCAUCUUGCCAUAUCUUCAGAGACUUAGGUCCUAAGGCAUCAUGGAGGAUUGCUCGCCAAGAAUGAGCACCAUUGGGCUCCUGAGGACCCUAGGCCGAUCAGCCCGGGCUCUAUAGGUCGAUUGGCCCAGGCCCUCUCUGGGCCUGUUGGCCUUCAUCUUUCUUUGAGUCGACGCUUAUUCAGGGCUUUGUCCAAUUAUAGUCCAUUAUAGUCUAAUUUCCUAAAAAACAGAAUGUCCUCCAAAAUACAAUGCAUAUGUGAAAACAACCCAAUUAUUAGGUAUGAUCAAUAGUUUAGGUAUUAAAUUAAUAUUAUUAUUUAAGAUAAACAGGGGUAAAGGGUGUCAUUAAUAACAAGCGCCAACAAGCGUCCUAGCUGUUCAAUAAAUUUUUUCUAGUACCGAUUGGUAACACUAACCGGUGCUAAUAUGUACCCUUUAUUACCGGUUAUUUUACCAGGUACUAAAGGAGACAAGAGCAUCCUAACAUAAGGUUAAUAUCAUCCAUUUCAUGAGUAAAAUACUAUGAUUCAAAAAUAAUUCAAAUCCCUUAAGACAAUACCUAUCAAAUGAGUAAAUUGUAAAUAGAGUAAUCUUGAUCAAACAAUGUCCUAAUGAAACGGAACACUUCUGGUUCGUGUAGAGCACAAUAUAGAAAACAGUAGGGUAGCUGUAUGAUUGACACGUGGUCCAUUAAUUAUUGAGCCAACACUAUGGACAUGUCUUCAUGAGUAGUGUACUAGUCAUAAUACAUGGUAUGCAGUAGGUGGAGGUAUUGACUUAGCCAUGCUAUGAGCACUUAGUUACAACAAACACUUUGCCAUUAUCGAGCAUCCCAAAUCACUACAAAAUCCAUAGUUUACCAUAUACUACAAAAUCUGAGUUAAAAUAAGAGCAUACACGGAAGAGUCCGAAUGCACGGCACAUUGAAUUACUAGACAAAAUUUAUGGGACAAGGUUUUGGGUAACCGCAUGAAAAAUAUUGGAUUUUACUGAACACUUAGUUACAAUUACCAUGCCCGUGAGCACUUAGUCACCACAAACAUUUAACCACUUUAGAUCAUCCUGAAUCCCUAUAAAUUCUAUACCUUACACCGUACCAUGAAAACGACAAGAACAGAGACAGAUGCGGUGAAAAUCUCCAGAGCAAGCCUGAAAUUAAAAUAAGAGGAGGCAGUCACUAUCGACAGGACACGGAGAUUGCUAGCCAUGACAGAGGAAGACAUGAUAUGAUAUUCACCUCUGAAAUGCAGCGUAGACUAAAUGAAGCACAAUUGCAAGUGAGUGUGGCAGAUAAUGGACCAUCGAGACCAUCGAAUGGUAUGAAGCAUGAUUAUCACCUAGACAUGAUAUCCUAGACAGGACGGUGAAUUGUAAAAAGAGUAAUCUUGAUCAAAGAAUGUCCUAAUGAAACGGAACAUUUUUGGUACGUGUAGAGCAAAAUAUAGAAAACAGUAGAGUAGUUGUACGAUUGAAACUGCAUCCAUCGACGUGGUGCAUGAAUUGUUGAGCCAACACUGUGGACAUGUCUUCAUGAACACCAUCUAGUGAGGACAGCAUGCAGAAAAAUAUAAAAACAUGUCAUAGGGAGGCAGACCAAUCUUGCGAGGUAGACGAAACGUGAUACACGAUCUGCCUACCUUGUCGUGUGGAUACCCCAAGUGAAGAUGUCAUAGAGGUGCAGACCAAGCUAGCAAGGAGGUAGAUGAAACGUGAUACACGGCCUGCCUACCUUGCCGUGGAUAUUAGUCCUGAUAUCAUUCUAUUGUUCAAGGAAUAACACUCAAUGCUGCUGCUGCUGCUGACCUGGCUCCAUAAAGUUAUAUUCCUCUAGCCGCUUGCACUAACUUUAUCUGAAGUAUUAUUCUCUCUGCACUGUAUAUAUGGUUACGGAGUUUGCUGGAGUAUCCGGGGGGAAGAACCUACAUAAUAUGUCUUGGAACUAACUGACAUUGAUUCACAGACAAGGUGCUGUUGUUGACAUGGUACAGUAAAUAAUAUAGUUUACCAUAUACCGUAUACCAUUAUAUGUUAGCUAAAAUAAGAGCAUAACAUGUCGCAGGAGUCCAAAAGCACCGGUUGAGGACCAGGUACAUUAAAUUACUAGAAAACAAAAGGGGACAAGGUUUAGGUAGCCACAUGAAAAACAUUUGAAUUUACUGUACCAUGAACACUUAGUUACCAUGCCGGGAGCACCUAGUUAACACUAACAUUUAGCCACUUUAGAUCAUCCCGAAACACCAAUGACCCUCAAUAGCGACAAAUUUUGGUUUAAAUGCCGUCACCAAUGAUCCUCAAUAGUGACGUGUUUAGGUUUAAAUCCCAUCACUAAUAACCCUUGGUAGUGACGUGUUUUGGUUUAAAUCUCAUCACCACUGAUCCUCACUAGUGACGUGUUUUUAGCAACACACGUUAUGAAUGACUUGUCAUUGGUGACAUGUUAAACGCGUUAUCUCAAUGGCAAAUCAAUGGUGACGUGUUUAAAAAAACAUGUCACUGUGAGAGUUAUUGGUGAAGGGUAAUUAAAAUGCAUCACUAAUUUUGUAGCAUUAGUUAUGAUAUAAUUUUGUAACGCAAAAAUCUACCAUAGUAAUGAGGUUUAGAGCCAUCACUAAUGUGGGUUUCUUAUCGUAGUGAUGCAAGCUCUACAAGGUGCUGUUGUUGCCAUUUUAAAGCAUCCCAAAUGACUACAAGAGUCCGGUUGAGGACUAAACAAAUUGAAUUACUAGAACCAAAUGUAUGUCCAGAACAAAGAAAGGGGUCAAGGUUUGGGUAACCGCAUUAAAAACAUUGAAUUUUACUGUACCAUGAACACUUAGUUACCAUUACCAUGCCUUGAGCACCUAGUUACCACAAACAUUAAUUUAGCCACUUUAGAGGUUCCACAAUCACUAUAAAUAAUAUACCAACACCGUACCAUGAAAACAUCAAGAAGAGAGACGGGUACAUGGACCACCAUCAAGUGAGUAGUGACAGCACGCACAAGAAUACCCGGAACCUUUUAGCUUGUCUGUAGUGAUCUGUUUUCUUCGCCACAAAUAAUGAAAGAGGCUGACCAAGCUAGCAACGAGGUAGAGCAAACGUGAUACACGUAGGUUUCAUUCAAGACAUCCAUGUAAGAUUCAUUCAAAACAUUCAUGGAAAUUUCUUGUAAGUUUUCAUGUAAAUUUCAUUCAAGACAUUUGUUAGAGGUGUUGUAUAUACACUUAACGUACAUAUAUCUAUGAUUUCAUGGUUGUUAGUGAUGGCAGAUGAGGAGCAUGCAAGGUGUUUAAUGGAGCAGAUUAUUGCUAGUGGUAGUGGCUCCAACCUGCCCGUAACGUACACCGACGAAGAGGGCAGCCAGGCGGACAUGUUCCUCAACAUGUCCGGUGAUGGCAAUGAAGAGCCCGAGCAAAACCUUGCCGUGACGGAAGGUUCCAUCGAGGUAUAUAUCAUUUCCAUUAUUUUACCCCAUCUAUAAUUUCAUAUUCAUUAUUACUAUGUGCUAAUUAAUGAAUCUUGAACCGUUAGUCCUCUAGAUCAACGAACCGAAAUAAGCCCCGAGGUCUUACAAAGAUAAUGCAGGGAAGGCUUCACAUCAUGGAAGUCACAGAAGAGGGCACAUCGGUUGCUCCCGAACAUGUGGCAAGAAAGUACGUGAGUCAAACCGGGGCAAUCGUAAGGGACAACAUGCCCAUCAGCAUCAGGGAAUGAAAGAGCAAUAGAAAUGAUCUAUACGCACCCCCGGAUACACAAAAGGAUAUGUUGUGGGCAAAUAUCAAGAAACACUUCACAUUUCCCAAAGGAUAUGUUGAAAAAUAUGUGAAAGCGUGGAUGUUGAAGAAGAUGGCCACCCAAUUCCAGACAUUCAAGAAGAUGUUGGAUGCCAACUUCAUCAAGAAGGGUCGAACUCCGGGUUUCAAUGAGUGGCCAAAGUUAAGGGACCACUGGGAGUCGUUUGUCGAAUACAAGACGAGCGAAGGUGGUGCGAGUAAGGUUCACAUCAAUGUUGCCAAUGCUAGCAAGGAGUACCAUCAUCAUCUAGGGCGACGUGGUUACAGCUCUGCAAUUCCCAGAUGGCGCAAGAUGGAACAAGACCUGAUCGAUCGGGGUAUCGUACCAGCAACUCUUGACUGGAUCGAUUGAAAAAUUGGUAUUAUGCUCAUGAAGGCAAUCUGAGCCAAGAGGAUCCGACAUUGGUCUUCAAUAAAACAAUACGUCAGAAGGUCGGAAGGCUUAUUAGGAACAUUGAAGAUGCUAAAGCUGGGAGGUUCAAGGUGGAUAGAGAGAAUGAUGAACUCACAUUGGCCCUCGGGACUGUCAUCUCUAGCACUUCCAGCUCCAGGACUAUCGUCACCACCGGGACCGUCGCUUCCUGCUCGAUCACAGUCUCCAUCUCCAGCACAUCCUGGUGGUGCGAGCGACGACGACAACAACACCCCUCCCUGCCCACCAUUGCCGGGACUAAGACCCGCAUUGAGUAAGGAACCUGCAACACCACUGAAGAAGUCGCGACCACCACCUUCAAGGCAAGUCAGCAAAAGAAGAAAGCAGAGAAGCCUAAACCCACUGAGAAGCCAGCGACUGAUAUGACCGAUGCGGAAAGAUGGAAGGCACUCAAAGAAGAAUGCAGGGAGUGGUUCAGCGAAGGCGAAGGUGAGAAAGUCGUAUGAAUCGAAUUCAAGGAUAUAUAUGAAGUGAACCAUCAGGAUGCCCUUGAUGUCUCUCUCAUCAGCGCCUAGGUUCUGUAAGUGUAUGUUUAUCUAUAAGUAAAUUUUGGCUCAUAUCAUUAUUUUUUUUGCGUGCGUCACCCUACUAACUUCGUCUUCCAUUUUAUGUAGGAUGCUAAUUCAGACGUGCCGCAUAGAAGCGUACUUCCAUGUUGGAUUCAUGGAUCCAUCCCUAGUUAACCAAAAGCCGAUACGGAAGUAGCUAGAGAAAACGUUGGAGGUGGUGUACAACCUCCUGGACAAACUAAACUACAGAAUAGGGGCAAUAUGUGAGGGUCUUGUAGGAUUCCUAGUGGACGAGGUGAUAAAUCCAUAAGGAGAAUAUCAUUCCAACGGACGAGCAUUAGACACACUGAGCAACACCUAGAUGGGAGGAUCCUAGGAAUGACCUCGACAGAUUUUGGUAUAAAUAGUAAUUGUGUAAAUACUAGUUUGAUUUGUAUAGGAAUAUACUAAGAAUUGUAUAUAUAGUAAUUGUACAAAUACUAGUUUGAUUUGUAUGAAUACUAGAUUGAUUUUAUUAUAAAAAAGUUUUAAGUCGUACGUGCAUGCGCCUACAAAGGCGCGGAUGCCUUUUAAUCCCAGUCGGAAAAACAAACUGGUACUAAAGGGGCUCGUGCCGCACCUGGCAUGACCACCCCUUUAGUCCCGGUUGAACGACCCAGGACUAAAGAUCUCCGCGUCUCAAAAAUUUUAUCUCGGAUGCUUUUUAGAGAGAUUUGAGGCCUAUCAACCAAGACUAAUAUCGAGUUUUCUACCAGUGAAACUAACUAACGUUCACAUGGUUUUGACAUUCACCUGCCAUUUGGUGUAGACAAGGGCACCCUAACAUAUGGUUAAUAUUAUUCUUGAAAGAAAAUCCUUUGAUUCAAAAUACUUCAAACCUAAUAAUACAAUACUUCUCACAUCUGAAAAAUAUGAGACGGCCCGACAGUAUUCUAAUCGACGCAAUAAUAUUUUGAGGGCAGCACUACUACAGCGACCCUCAUUCGUGCCGGUGCUGGGACUCCUAUCACGACCCUGAUACAAAUGAGGGUACAUUAUUGGUGCCAGUGCUAGAACAGCCACGAAUAACUUGCUAAACGUGCUGUUACACUCACUACAGGGACCAAGAAGGUAGAUAAAUUACACGACAUAGCCUUGGUUGCCGUGGAAGCGCCAAGAAGGGAGACAAAUUACAGGGACCACACCAUCAAGUAGAUAGUGACAAUAUGCAAAAGAAUACCCGCGCCUGUUAGCAUGUGAACUGACCACACCACGAAACGUGAUACACGGCAAGCGUACCAAGGCCUUGCUGUGCAGACUAUGCAUGGACAACACAUGGUACCUGACCGCUUUUGGCCUCAGACACAUCGAAAAACUGCAUCGUUCCACGUUGUACAUCCAUUGCUAGUUUAUCUAUAUUACAUAAUAUAUUAUUAGCUAUUUGAAUAGAAUGAACCAAUUAAAAAAUUGCGUUGUAUUUUUAGUACCGGCUGCAGGAUGGUGUUACCAACCAGUACUAAUUGGCCUGUAGGAGUGAUGGUUAUUAGACUUGGUACUGUUGUUAGCAUCAUUAACCUAAUUGUGCGCCGUAUGAAUUUGGGGAUGCAAAGCUAGCUCUCUAUGAAUGUGAGGGAUGGAAAGCUAGUUCUCUAGUAGUAAUUAUAUAUAUGACAGUCAAGAAAUCGAACACUAUGCUGCUACGAGUCACCAUCAUUUCCUUCAUUGACAAUCUGACAUAGGUGAAGCUGCUUCAAUAAUUUCCUUCGCGCAGUCGUGGAGCUUAUUGGAUUAUCACCAGGACGGGACACGGAAAUGGCCAGCAAUGAAGCUGAUUGCCGUCUGAGGAAGACUACAUACUUACCUAUGAAAUGAAGCGAUUGCAUAGACUAAUGAAGCAUUGCAUAUUUGCAUGUGAGUGUGGCAGAUAAUUCUGCAGGACAUGAUUGCAAUCCACGCACCAUCGAGAAGACUGGGGCGAUGGGGUUGCCUCAUCAAUAAUCACGUGGAUGCAUGCAUGCAUGUUCCCGCAACCGGACAAGGGUCUGAUAUAUGGCUAUAGUAUUACUGAGCCCACAUCAAUAAUUUCCACUGGUGUAUCGUGUGGGAAGAAUCAACAUACUACACCUCGAGUUCUUGGAACUAACUGACGUUCACAUGCAACCUCCACAAGGUGCUGUAUGCUUUUGACAUUCACCUGCCAGUUCGUGUAGAGAAGGACACCCUAACGUAUAGUUAAUAUUAUCCAUUUCAUGAGUAAAAUACUGUGAUUCAAAAAUACUUCAAAUCCCUUGAGACAAUACUUCUCACUUGACUAACCACUAACCAACCCCGAAACCCUAACUCAACUCCGAACCCUAACCCCUAACGGCAUAACCACUCCGUUUUGCCGGCGAGAUGGAGGAACUGGCUGGAAGGUAGAGAGGGCAGCGGUCCAGGGUUGAAAACGACGGGCGAGCGCAGUAACAUGUGGAGGAGGAAGUGCCACGUAUUCGUUCACCGCUAUUGGGCAGCGACACACGACACGCCCAAUAAGAUCUUCGCACGGUAGAAGGACGUCAUGUAUUCAAUAAUGUUAUUGGUCCCCCAUGUGCAGAAGGGCGCGCGCGUAUGGAAUAACAAGUAGGGACACUGCAACUAAUCUACUCUGCUCGUCCAGUCCCUAGCCUAUAAAUAGAUGCCAUGCUAGCUCUUGUUGUGCUCACAAUUAAUCCGAUUACACACGAGCUUCUCUCCCUGGCCAAGACACAACCAUAGUAUGAUGAAGAACAUGGCACUAGCCGGCAAUGGUAUGAAGAAGUUAAUCCUCGCUGUUCUCUUACUGUGUCUAGUUAUAGGGCAGAUACAAGUGGAAGCUAAGAGCUGCUGCCCAUCCACCACUGCAAGAAAUGUCUACAAUACCUGCCGUUUCACGGGUACAUCCCGUCCAACGUGUGCAAAACUGUCAGGCUGCAAAAUUAUCAGCGGGAACAAAUGCAAGCCCCCUAACGACCACCUCACCCUUGACCCGGACACUGGUAAAUAAUAAAUUUAUCUCACUUGAUUUCUUCGUGAUUUGAGUCGUUAAUGUAUUUUCCAUCUGAUGAAACGUAUUGGUUUUGCAUUGAAGAGGAAGUUAAUGUGCUUAACUUCUGCAAGUUGGGGUGUGCGUCGUCUGUGUGCAACAACAUCAACGCUGGUAAGCAACUUUUGCUCAGACAGAGAAAACAAUAAUCAUUAAUUAGCGGCAGCUAGAAUCCUAUAAUCUAAUAUAUAUAUAUAUAUAUAAUUUUAUCAGCUCUGGGAAAUGAAGAGGCGAACGAUGCCGUUGAGAGUUGCGACCAAGCCUGCUCUAGCUUCUGCAGCGUGCAUGUUGGCAGCGCCACCGUGGUUGCUUAAGCAAAUGCAUCCAACUAGAUCGUCCUUGUGCUGAAUAAUUGGAUAUCGUAUCCACUUAAAGCUGCCUUGUGUAGUACGUCUUUGUGUCUCUCUUUAUAUUCCAAUAAGGUCGGUGAUCUUGAUGCCACACACUCAGAUGUGUGUUCAUCUCCAGAUACUACUCCAUGCUACCUGCCCUUUGUGUUUUGUUCAAUAACUGGGUAUCAUAUCCCAGCCAGUAUGCCGUCUGUUUUGUGUUUGUUUCCUUCUAGUUCCAAAGGGGUCAUCAUGAUGUUACCUUCUUUCAAUAUGGUGCUUUGCAUGACUACUGUUGUAUGGUACCAUCUUGUGGCCAAUAAGUACAUCUUAUCCUAUGACCUUUGCUAUGACCCUUUGCAAAUAAGUAGAAGAUUGUUAUAAGCGUCAAUACUCCGUAUAAAUUGAUCGCUGCUGUGAGUUCCCUUUCAGCUUAUCGUAGGCAUACAUUAUUGCUAGCACGGUAAAGCCAACCAACACGAAUGAUGAAGUAAACGUAGCGGUACUUCUGUAUACCAACACCCUUACUUAAAUGUACCGGUGUCAUUCCCUACUGGCACAUAUAUUCUUAUAUGCUAGCCAGCUUGUAAAAUUAACCAAUUAAAAUAAUUAUUUCAAGAUAGAAAUAACUUAUCGGUUUCUGGAAGCAUGUGUAAUGUGAAUUCAAGGACUCGACGGAAGUUGAAUCACUUCAUCUAUAUUGCUUUCAGUAUUUUGGGUAACUAAAUUUAACAUUUGCACAUACAAAUGUUAAAGUACAAAUGUUAAAUCUAGUUACCCAAGCAGAAUAUGAAGAUAGUUUAUAGUAUAUAUAUACUAUAUAAAUCUAGUUAACAUUUAGUCUAAAUGUUAAAUCUAGUUACCUAAAAUCCUGAAAGCAAAAUGUAUAAAUAUAUAUCUUUUAAGGCAGUAUAAGCUUCGAUUCCUAUUGCUGCUCUGUUAAAUCUCAUCUUUCGUUGUGGCCCAACACUCUAGUAUGCAUGUUGCACCAAGCUUCUUUGAGCCGCUCUGCCCUCUGAUUUUGCUGCGUAGGGGAAUCUUUAUCAGGUUGGGCUACUUCCAGUUGUGCGAUGUAAAGAUUCGUAUUUUCUAGAAGGUAGACAAAAAACUCGCGUUCUCUUAAGGCAACAACCGGAAGAUUCUGCAGCGCACAGGGCAUACCAUUAUUGUAGAAACGACCUUUAGUACCGAUCUCCAACCCCCUUUAAAACUGGUUUUGCAACCGGUACCGUUAUGUCGGUCCUUUAGUACCAGAUCAAAUAAGUACCGGUUGGUAACCAGUAUCAACUUGUUUUGCGGCCAAAAAAAUAAAGAAAAAAACAGUCAGAAGGCUCGCACACACGCGCAUCACAUGAAAUAUGCGUGUGCGGGGUCCAUGGGAUUCGAACCCAUGAAAUCAAGCUGCACGCGACCCUUCGUUACCAUCUCACCUACAUAGCGCAUAUGCUUUCCUGAAGUAACCCGUGGAGGAGGCUUUAGUACCGGGUCAUAACACCACCCGGUACUAAAAAUGACUCUUCAGUACCGGGUCAUAACACCACCUGAUACUAGUAUCGGAUGGUGUAAUGACCCGAUACUAAAAGGCCUCUAGGGACCCUCAAAUUUGAACCCGGUACUAAUGCUAAUAUUAGUAGCGGGUCAAAGUGCAGCCAGAACUAAAGCAUGGGAUGAAAGGUCAUAUUUCUAGUAGUGUAUAGUUGUUGUGAAGGACUGACUUGGCUGUCCUCUCUCUUCUCCAUCCCCUUGGUCUUACGCCGCCGCUCGCACGCGAGCCGGUGCCCAACCAGAGGAGUGAGAGCUAGGGGCAGGUUGGGAGGUGGGGAUAGUGACUGGUGGCCAGGGUGAUGGUUGAUCCUGGUGGGGUUAGGGUUUCAGGGUUUUCGAGCUUCCUAUGGUCGGCGAACCUAGAGGAGAAGCUCAACAUCAGCUGCAACCCGCGAUGGUGGUGGUUUGGCCGGCGCCCGAGGCGAGGCAGCGCGGGAGUGCUGCCGGUGGGUUGGUGUUGGCACUCAUUAUUGACAACUAUUUUGUUCAUAAAAUAACACUCAAACUUGCUGCUGCUGCUGCUGCCAUCGCCACCCUAGCCAUAAUAUAAAGGCAAAAUUUGCUAAAGGACAUGCAAAAUGAUGCUAGUUUGCUGGCGGGCAUCGUUGACCUUGUAAUAUGCUACAAGACACUCUAGUUGUGUAUCAAUUUGCUGAAAGACAUUGCUAUGACUAAAAUAAUGUUUCUGGACUGAGUUGGAGAGAGAGAUGGAGUGAAAUGUCUGUUUUGCCCAUGACCCCACUGGUCAGAUCCUUCUUCUUCCACCCUCCUUUGUUCUUUCUUCAACCAUUACCCAGCUCCAGCGUGUUGCAGAUCUACGAGGGUGGCGGCCUGGGGCGAGGGGCAUCGCUCGCCCUUGGAGGAGCGCUGCGAGCGACGGCGCGGGGGCGGCAACAGCGCGUCAGAACCUGACUGUUCGUUAGCUCCUCUCGCUGCUGGGGAAGAAGGAGGGGGAUGGGCCAUGGACGGGGUUCCCUUGAAAACCUCAGCGUCGAGCUCGGGCGGCUACGCGCAGGCAGCACUAGGCUGCUUCACGGGGAGGGGGCGCGGCCAAUCAUUGGCACCCCACUGGUCCAAUGCUGAUGAAGAUGGUGCCAGCGUCGUGUGAGGACAUCUCAUCUCCUCGAGUUCCAUGGCCAGCACAGGUGAGCUGCCGCUACCACAAAACAGAGGUUUCGUGAGAGUCAAAAAACCUUAUGAAAAUAGCUAAAACCAUCAUGAAAAUAAUCCGUGACAUGACACUCUCACGAAAAUCCUCUCACAAAUAUGGUGCCAUGAAAAUACCAUUUUCAUGAGAGUGAACUGUCAUGAUUUUAUAAGCGUCAAUACUCGGUAUAAAUUGACUACUGCUGUGAGUUCCCUUUCAGCUUAUCGUAGGCAUACAUUAUUGCUAGCACGGUAAAGAGAACCAACACGAAUGAUGAAGUAAACGUAGCGGAACUUUUGUAUACCAACACCCUUACGUACCGGUGUCAUUCCCCACUGCCACAUAUAUUCUUAUAUGCUAACCAGCUUUGAAAAUUAAGCGAUUAAAAUAAUUAUUUCAAGAUAGAAAUAACUUAUCGGCUUCUCGAAGCUUGUGUAAUGUGAAUUCAAGGACUCGAUGGAAGUUGAAUCGCUUCAUCUAGAUUGCUUUCAGGAUUUUGGGUAACUAAAUUUAACAUUUGCACACACAAAUGUUAAUGUACAAAUGUUAAAUCUAGUUACCCAAGCAGAAUAUGAAGAUACUCUAUAGUAUAUAUGUACUAUAUAAAUCUAGUAAACAUUUAGUCUAAAUGUUAAAUCUAGUUACCUAAAAUCCUAAAAGCAAAAUGUAUAAAUAUAUAUCUUUUAAGGCAGUAUAAGCUUCAAUUCUCUGUUAAAUCUCAUCUUUCGUUGUGGCCCAACACUCUAGUAUGCAUGUUGCACCAAGCUUCUUUGAGCCGCUCUGCCCUCUGAUUUUGCUGCGUAGGGGAAUCUUUAUCAGGUUGGGCUACUUCCAGUUGUGCGAUGUAAAGCUUCGUAUCUUUUAGAAGGUAGACAAAAUACCCGCGUUCUGGAAGAUUCUGCAACGUGCACGUUGGCGCUGCCACCGUGGUUGCUUAAGCAAAUGCAUCCAACUGAAUCGUCCUUAAGCUGAAUAAUUGGAUAUGGUAUCCACUGCUUAAAGCUGCCAUGUUUAGUACGUCUUUGUUUUUCUCUCUUUAUAUUCCAAUAAGGUCGGUGAUCUUGAUGCCACACACUCAGAUGUGUGUUUAUCUCCAGAUACUACUCCAUGCUACCUACCCUUUGUGUUUUGUUCAAUAACUGGGUAUCAUAUCCUAGCCAGUGUGCCAUCUGUUUUGUGUUUGUUUCCUUCUAGUUCCAAAGGGGUCAUCAUGAUGUUAC